CCUACGGGCGGCAGCAGUGGGGGAUAUUGCACAAUGGGGGGAACCCUGAUGCAGCGACGCCGCGUGGGUGAAGAAGCGCCUCGGCGCGUAAAGCCCUGUCAGCAGGGAAGAAAAUGACGGUACCUGAAGAAGAAGCCCCGGCUAACUACGUGCCAGCAGCCGCGGUAAUCCGUCGGGGGCCAGCGUUAUCCGGGUUUACGGGGUGUAAAGGGGGCGCAGACGGCGAUGCAAGCCAGGAGGGAAAGCCCGGGGACCAACCCCGGGACUGCUCUUGGAACUGGGGGGCUGGAGUGCAGGAGGGGCAGGCGGAAUGCCUGGUGUAGCGGUGAAAUGCGUAGAUAUCAGGAGGAACACCGGUUGCGAAGGCGGCCUGCUGGACUGCAACUGACGUUGAGGCCCGAAAGCGUGGGGAGCAAACAGGAUUAGAUACCCCGGUAGUC
rnacentral:rRNA from 1 species